CUCUCUCUCUCUCUCUCUCUCUCUCUCUCUCUCUCUCUCUCUCUCUCUCUCACCCUACAACACAUAUACUGUCUCUCUCUCUCUAACCCUACAACACAUGUACUGACUCUCUCUCUCUCUCUCUAACCCCACAACACAUGUACUGUCUCUCUCUCUUUAACCCCACAACACAUGUACUGUCUCUCUCUCUCUCUCUCUAACCCCACAACACAUGGUUUGCUUUUGGAUAGAAGAAGAGCUGACUCAGAAGCAUUGGUCCAUUGAUGUGGCUUUCAAGCUGUGAAAACGUUAUCUUGUGGUUCUACUUCAUUAAGACCGUCUGUGGUAAUUGUAUUCAUAAUUUACACGCCACAAUAUCGUAACAGUAUCAUUACGUAUCAGUCAGUCCACGACAUGGGCAACAACUACAGUCUUGGAUUUACAGACAAAAAGAAGGGGGUUGUGGCUACUUCACUGACCGCACCCCAAGCCAACGUUGCCCUUUGACCCAGACCUCUCUCCUCUUUCCAUGUCAGAUAGUUGUGAUUUACAGCAACCCGACAAAAGACCGGGGUGUCAGGUUCUGUCUCGGGUGACCCUCUGUGGCUACCCCUGUGUUUUUUAACUGCUAGCCCCAUUGUCGGGGUAAGUCAAUACCUGCCGCGCCAUUGGGGGACAAAAAUAGAGAGAAGUCAUACACCUACUGUGUUGUUUACAACAGGGUUAUUCAAGCAGGGGUCUGUGGUACAACAGGGUUAUUCAAGCAGGGGUCUGUGGUACAACAGGGUUAUUCAAGCAGGGGUCUGUGGUACAACAGGGUUAUUCAAGCAGGGGUCUGUGAUACAACAGGGUUAUUCAAGCAGGGGUUCUGUGGUACUGCAGGGUUAUUCAAGCAGGGGUCUGUGGUACUGCAGGGUUAUUCAAGCAGGGGUUCUGUGGUACUGCAGGGUUAUUCAAGCAGGGGUCUGUGGUACUGCAGGGGUUCUGUGGUACAGCAGGGUUAUUCAAGCAGGGGUCUGUGGUACUGCAGGGGUUCUGUGGUACAACAGGGUUAUUCCAGCAGGGGUCUGUGGUACAACAGGGUUAUUCACGCAGGGGUCUGUGGUACAACAGGGUUAUUCACGCAGGGGUCUGUGGUACAACAGGGUUAUUCACGCAGGGGUCUGUGGUACAACAGGGUUAUUCAAGCAGGGGUCUGUGGUACAACAGGGUUAUUCAAGCAGGGGUCUGUGGUACAGCAGGGGGUCUGUGGUAAUGCAGGG
rnacentral:lncRNA from 1 species